GGUCAAGCGAAUAAGCGCACACGGUGGAUGCCUUGGCGGUCAGAGGCGAUGAAGGACGUGGCAGCCUGCGAAAAGUAUCGGGGAGCUGGCAACAAGCUUUGAUCCGGUAAUGUCCGAAUGGGGAAACCCACCCGCUUGCGGGUAUCCUGCAGUGAAUACAUAGCUGCUGGAAGCGAACCUGGUGAACUGAAAUAUCUAAGUAACCAGAGGAAAAGAAAUCAACCGAGAUUCCGUAAGUAGCGACGAGCGAACGCGGACUAGCCCUUAAGCUGGAUUGGUUCUAGGAAAACGCUCUGGAAAGAGUGGCCAUAGAAGGUGAUAGCCCUGUAUCUGAAAGGGCCAUUCCAGUGAAGACGAGUAGGGCGGGGCACGUGAAACCCUGUCUGAACAUGGGGGGACCAUCCUCCAAGGCUAAAUACUACUGACCGACCGAUAGUGAACCAGUACCGUGAGGGAAAGGCGAAAAGAACCCCGGAGAGGGGAGUGAAAUAGAACCUGAAACCGUGUGCGUACAAGCAGUAGGAGCUCCGCAAGGAGUGACUGCGUACCUUUUGUAUAAUGGGUCAGCGACUUACUGUUCGUGGCAAGCUUAACCGUAUAGGGGAGGCGAAGGGAAACCGAGUCUGAUAAGGGCGCAUAGUCGCGGGCAGUAGACCCGAAACCGGGUGAUCUAGUCAUGCCCAGGGUGAAGGUGCGGUAACACGCACUGGAGGCC
rnacentral:rRNA from 1 species